GAUGAACGCUGGCGGCGUGCCUAAUACAUGCAAGUCGAGCGAACGGACGAGAAGCUUGCUUCUCUGAUGUUAGCGGCGGACGGGUGAGUAACACGUGGAUAACCUACCUAUAAGACUGGGAUAACUUCGGGAAACCGGAGCUAAUACCGGAUAAUAUUUUGAACCGCAUGGUUCAAAAGUGAAAGACGGUCUUGCUGUCACUUAUAGAUGGAUCCGCGCUGCAUUAGCUAGUUGGUAAGGUAACGGCUUACCAAGGCAACGAUGCAUAGCCGACCUGAGAGGGUGAUCGGCCACACUGGAACUGAGACACGGUCCAGACUCCUACGGGAGGCAGCAGUAGGGAAUCUUCCGCAAUGGGCGAAAGCCUGACGGAGCAACGCCGCGUGAGUGAUGAAGGUCUUCGGAUCGUAAAACUCUGUUAUUAGGGAAGAACAUAUGUGUAAGUAACUGUGCACAUCUUGACGGUACCUAAUCAGAAAGCCACGGCUAACUACGUGCCAGCAGCCGCGGUAAUACGUAGGUGGCAAGCGUUAUCCGGAAUUAUUGGGCGUAAAGCGCGCGUAGGCGGUUUUUUAAGUCUGAUGUGAAAGCCCACGGCUCAACCGUGGAGGGUCAUUGGAAACUGGAAAACUUGAGUGCAGAAGAGGAAAGUGGAAUUCCAUGUGUAGCGGUGAAAUGCGCAGAGAUAUGGAGGAACACCAGUGGCGAAGGCGACUUUCUGGUCUGUAACUGACGCUGAUGUGCGAAAGCGUGGGGAUCAAACAGGAUUAGAUACCCUGGUAGUCCACGCCGUAAACGAUGAGUGCUAAGUGUUAGGGGGUUUCCGCCCCUUAGUGCUGCAGCUAACGCAUUAAGCACUCCGCCUGGGGAGUACGACCGCAAGGUUGAAACUCAAAGGAAUUGACGGGGACCCGCACAAGCGGUGGAGCAUGUGGUUUAAUUCGAAGCAACGCGAAGAACCUUACCAAAUCUUGACAUCCUUUGACAACUCUAGAGAUAGAGCUUUCCCCUUCGGGGGACAAAGUGACAGGUGGUGCAUGGUUGUCGUCAGCUCGUGUCGUGAGAUGUUGGGUUAAGUCCCGCAACGAGCGCAACCCUUAAGCUUAGUUGCCAUCAUUAAGUUGGGCACUCUAAGUUGACUGCCGGUGACAAACCGGAGGAGGGUGGGGAUGACGUCAAAUCAUCAUGCCCCUUAUGAUUUGGGCUACACACGUGCUACAAUGGACAAUACAAAGGGCAGCGAAACCGUGAGGUCAAGCAAAUCCCAUAAAGUUGUUCUCAGUUCGGAUUGUAGUCUGCAACUCGACUACAUGAAGCUGGAAUCGCUAGUAAUCGUAGAUCAGCAUGCUACGGUGAAUACGUUCCCGGGUCU
rnacentral:rRNA from 1 species